AAACGGAAGAGUUUGAUCCUGGCUCAGGACGAACGCUGGCGGCGUGCCUAACACAUGCAAGUCGAGCGGGGACAUUGCGACAGAUAUGAAGUUUUCGGAUGGAUUGAAAGAUGUAAUGUUCUAGCGGCGGACGGGUGAGUAACGCGUGAGCAACCUGUCCCUUACAGGGGGAUAACACAGCGAAAGUUGUACUAAUACCGCAUGAGACCACAGAGCGACAUCGCUUAGGGGUCAAAGGAGUAAUCCGGUAAGGGGUGGGCUCGCGUCCGAUUAGAUAGUUGGUGAGGUAACGGCCCACCAAGUCGACGAUCGGUAGCCGACCUGAGAGGGUGAUC
rnacentral:ncRNA from 1 species